CAAAGUGACAAGCACGAAUUUUAGCAAAGGGCUUGCCGGCAUAAGUAUUGUAACAAUUCUGACAAAAUUUGGCAUUAAAGGAAUUACAAAAUCGGUUUUUGAGUGCAUUUAUCCUAUAUCAUACAACAAACGUGUGAAUACAUAUGGACUUGAAAGAAGCAUCAACUCACCAACAAUGGACAACCCAAAUUUGUCCUUCAAUGUAUUUGAAGCAAGAUUUUCGGUUAUAUAAUCAAAACAAUCCUAAUCUACUCAAUUAGUAAACUUAUUCCUGUCAUUUAAAUCUUAAUCAUCAGACCAUCCCCACAAUUUAUCAUGCAGACAGUUAGCUAUGUCAAUUGUAGUUGCAAUCUUAUACAGCAGCAUAAUAACAUAUCAUUCCAAAUCCAGACUCUUUUUCAUGGCCUCAUAAACCAUAUAAGUAAUGCUAGCAGAUGGAACAACUUUAAGCAUGUUAGGAAAUAUCCCUUUGUAGAAUCCCCUAAUCCCUUCAUGUUGAAAGGUUCUCCUGAAUACAUCUGACAUUCCCUUGUAAGCAGCACCCAUGUUAGAGCGCUGAGCUUGCAUUCUUGUUCUCACAACCUGCAAUGGGUAAACACAAGUUGCUCCAAGAGCCCCAGACAAAGUCCCACAUCCCAAUUGCACAAGAGGACCAGGUUCACUGUCAUGAAGCAUGUACUUCUUGGACAUUUCUUUUAAGGUCUCAUAAGCAGCAAGAUCGAUACCUGCAUAAGGGAUGAUUCCAAGAAGUGAUGGAAUAAGGCCCCUGUAGAAUGCCCGCGGUCCUUCCUGAACCCAUAUAUCCCUUGUCAUUGUCCCAAGAUUAGGAAUUUUUCCAUUUUCGCAAGCAAAAGUCUGUAAUCGAGUUUUUACAAGAUCCAUUGGAUAAAUGGCAGUUUGUGCCACAGCACCAGCAACACCACCAGCAAAAAGUCGCCCAGUUGUACCAAUAUUAGCCUUAUCUCCUCCUUUAGCAUGCACAAUGAAAUCUUUAAGCAUUUCAUAAGUGUAGAAUCUGAUAGCACUUUCUGGUGCCACUUUCAAAACAUUUAACCCAUUGCCUCGGAAAAAUCCCAAUACACCUCCUUCCCUCCAUAUAUUCCUUACUGCUGGCAUUAGACGAGCAUGUGUUGUUUGUACCUGCAAAACAACCUUUAGACGAUCAAGAGGUGCAGUUGCAGUGCGAGAUGUUGCUCCUGCUACUCCUCCUGCAAUCAGAUAUCUGUAUGCAUGAAUGUGCUUACUGAUGCCCUCUGGGACAACAGCCUGUUCCCCAAUGUCAACCAGGCAUACCCUUUCCAAGUAAUGAUAAAUGUUCUCAAUAGUAGCCUCAUGAGGGUAUAGUAGAAGAAAGUCUCUCCAUUCUUCAAAUGUUAUAACACCGUUGUUAUCCUUAUCCACUCGCUCAACAAAACGCGCAAGCUCCUCAUCAUCAAUUUCAAUCCCUACAAAAGAAAGACUGGUGUGGCUUAUAGAAUGAACCUACAAAAUAUCAAUCCACAUUUCCAAAUACUUUGAUCCAAAACAAAGAUUAGGAGAAAGAUGAUAGGUCAGCAUAAUGCACUCAAUGGAGUUUAAAAAAUAUAACAGAAUACAUAUGAGAAGGCUGAUGGGAAAUUAUAUUCCACAAAAGUGAUAAAAGUUGUACAUUUGAAGCAAUGUGUGCCCUCUGCUUCCAAGCAAUAAAGAAUAUCAUAAACAACAAACUGAUUAUUAUCAUUUCAGCAUUUCCAGCUUACUCUAAGCAGUAGCUACUAUAGAAAGAACAGAUUCCCAUAAUCCUUUCCACAAUCCACAUUCUUCUAUAGAGAAGCAUGAAGUAUGUUUGCAAGGUCCGCACAACAUACAAAAUAAUAAAUUAUAGUUCGCAUUGCUAAAAAACAAGUAGGGUAAUUGGAAGCAGAAGAUUCAGUCUAAUCUGCAGCCACAUAUCAUGCCACCAAUCUGGGAUUCCAGGUUCACCACUUCCAAGCCCUUACUUGUGAUUAGACAGGGGAAACACACCAAUGUAUGCAUUUCAAGAUUUGAUUAUGGUAAAGCAGAGCACUAGGUUGAGGUGUAUUACUCCAAAAUCCAUAUCCUUAAAACCUAUGCACCUUACUGUGCAUCCUACAAUUUUACAAAACAACUGAUAGUGAUAACUCAUUUUAUCCUAGAAAUUAUAGAAAAUGCAAGAAAAUAGAUGCUAGCGUAAUCACUCUUAGAAUGGAUAGAAUAAAUAAUUCACCGAGGGAAGAAGCAUAAAGAGAUGAUUAGCAGAGUCAAAUGGAGAGUGUAAUUUUACCUGCCCUAAGAAGUGCAUCAUACAGCUCUUCUGGCAAAAUGCAACCAUUAUGCUCAACAUCAAUGGCUUGAAAAAUACGGUACAGAUCAAGCUCCUUAUCAUCCAUAUAUCGCUUAAACUCCUGGUAAUCCACGCGCCCAUCUUUAUUGGCAUCACACACAUUUAACAAAUCUUUAGCAUACUUGUAAUCUGCAGGUAUUUGGAGCGCAGAAAGGCCUUUCUCAAUCUGGGUAUAAUCUAAAUACCCACAAUUCGCAACAUCAAAGAAAUUAAAAAGAGUUCGAAUCCUCUGCUCUCUCUCUUCCUUGGUCUCUCCCAGCGCCAAUAGAACAUGUUCCAUGGUCACUGGCCCUUGUUUUUUAACUGGGUUACAACAAUUCGAUCUUUGUUCCUUGCCAUUUUUGGAUUUUGCCUCCAUUUUGCAAACCUCCAAACUCAAAAAUUACCUUCAAUAAAGAAAAAUCCCCCAAUCUAUCUACCCUUCUCUCUACAUAUAUGUAUAAUUGAGGAGGUGUUAAUGCGACCAAGCUUCAAACAUAAAAUGCAGAGAAAAAAUAACCCAGAAAAGACCCCAAAAAUCUUCACUUUGACAGAAUGCAGGAAGAUUCAACCCUAGUCGUGAUUGUUGAAAAAAUCCAAGUAGGUAUACAUAUAAAGAAAUGGAAGUCAAAGAGAAGGGAAUUCCAAAUUCAACAGGGAUAAAGAACAGAAAAAGCCAGGUAAGACGAAAGAAGAAGAAUAAGGCAUCAAAAAAAGAUUUAACGGGAAGAAAAAUUCGAAAAGGAAACGAAUAAAAAGGGCAGUUCAAUCCCCCCCACCGUGCGCGGCGUUGAAAAAAAGCAAAAACAUCGCCGGGGAGAAUUUGGACGGAGGAGAGCAGAAGUAUCGCCAGUCACAUCGGACUUGGAGAUGGUGCCCAUCACGCAAAAAGAAGAAAAGCGACAUUAAAUAAUAAUAACAAUAAUAAUAGUAAUUUCAUGGGCAAAAUUUAAGAAAAAUGUGAUGCUAAUCGCA
rnacentral:misc_RNA from 1 species